rnacentral:tRNA from 1 species
UAAGUUUUAAAAUGAGAUGUUAGGGGCGUUUGGAUUUUUUCAGUUUUUUUAAAGAUUU